ACCCCCAUUUUACCCGAAAAUCAUGCAUUUUCCCUUCCAAAAUACCCCAUUUAACAAAAAUCACACAUUUUCUCUUUCAGAAUCCCUGAUUUAAACUGAAAAUCACGCAUAUUCUCUCAAAACUUCUGUUUAAACCAAAAUUGCGCGUUUUCUCUCAACAAUCCCCGUUUAACCCCAAAAUCACGCAUUUUCUCUUGGAAAACCCCCCAUUUAACUCAAAAACCUCACCUUUUCUCUUGGAAAAUACGCAUUUACCCCAAAUCAUGCAUUUUCUCUCCAAAAAUACCCCAUUAACCCCAAAAGCACACAUUUUCUCUUGCAAAUCCCGCAUUUUCCACAAAAUCUUGCAUUUUCUCUCCAAAAAUACCCCAUUAUCCCCCAAAGCACACAUUUUCUCUCAGAAAUCCCCCUUUUAACCCCCAAAUCACACAUUUUCUCUUGGAAAAUCCCCCAUUUACCCCAAAAUCAUGCUUUAUCUCUUCAAAAAUACCCCAUUAUCCCCC
rnacentral:lncRNA from 7 species